rnacentral:rRNA from 1 species
UGAGUAACCUGCCCUUAACUCUGGGAUAAGCCUGGGAAACUGGGUCUAAUACCGGAUAUGACUCCUCAUCGCAUGGUGGGGGGUGGAAAGCUUUAUUGUGGUUUUGGAUGGACUCGCGGCCUAUCAGCUUGUUGGUGAGGUAAUGGCUCACCAAGGCGACGACGGGUAGCCGGCCUGGAGAGGGUGACCGGCCACACGUGGGACUGAGACACCGGCCCAGACCUCCGUACGGGGAGGCAG